rnacentral:rRNA from 1 species
GAGCAUUGCGGCAGCUACCAUGCAAGUCGAGCGGUAACAGAUCCAGCUUGCUGGAUGCUGACGAGCGGCGGACGGGUGAGUAAUGCAUAGGAAUCUGCCCGAUAGUGGGGGAUAACCUGGGGAAACCCAGGCUAAUACCGCAUACGUCCUACGGGAGAAAGGGGGCUUCGGCUCCCGCUAUCGGAUGAGCCUAUGUCGGAUUAGCUAGUUGGUGAGGUAACGGCUCACCAAGGCCACGAUCCGUAGCUGGUCUGAGAGGAUGAUCAGCCACAUCGGGACUGAGACACGGCCCGAACUCCUACGGGAGGCAGCAGUGGGGAAUAUUGGACAAUGGGGGGAACCCUGAUCCAGCCAUGCCGCGUGUGUGAAGAAGGCCCUCGGGUUGUAAAGCACUUUCAGCGAGGAAGAACGCCUAGCGGUUAAUACCCGCUAGGAAAGACAUCACUCGCAGAAGAAGCACCGGCUAACUCCGUGCCAGCAGCCGCGGUAAUACGGAGGGUGCAAGCGUUAAUCGGAAUUACUGGGCGUAAAGCGCGCGUAGGUGGCUUGAUAAGCCGGUUGUGAAAGCCCCGGGCUCAACCUGGGAACGGCAUCCGGAACUGUCAAGCUAGAGUGCAGGAGAGGAAGGUAGAAUUCCCGGUGUAGCGGUGAAAUGCGUAGAGAUCGGGAGGAAUACCAGUGGCGAAGGCGGCCUUCUGGACUGACACUGACACUGAGGUGCGAAAGCGUGGGUAGCAAACAGGAUUAGAUACCUUGGUUAGUC